rnacentral:tRNA from 1 species
GGGGGUUUAGCUCAGUCGUAGAGCGUUCCGUUUGCAUCGGAAAGGUCAUGGGUUCAAUCCCCAUAGUCUCCA